UAGCAAGAGACAUGAAGGGUAACAAAAAGGGCUUCUACAAGUAUAUCAACAGCAAGAAGAAGAUCAGGGAACGUGUGAGUCCCUUACUGAAAGGGGCAGGCAACCUAGUUACAGAGGAUACAGAAAAGGCUAAAGUACUCAAUGCCUUUUUCACCUUAGUCUUCACAGGCAAAGUUAGCUCCCACACUACUGCACUUGGCAUGACUGGUUUAGCAAGUAAG